rnacentral:rRNA from 1 species
UACGUAGGGACCAAGCGUUGCUCGGAAUCACUGGGCGUAAAGCGCACGUAGGCGGUUCGUUAAGUCAGAUGUGAAAGCCCCCGGCUCAACCGGGGAAGUGCAUCUGAAACUGGCGAGCUAGAGUACGAAAGAGGGUCGCGGAAUUCCCGGUGUAGAGGUGAAAUUCGUAGAUAUCGGGAGGAACACCGGUGGCGAAGGCGGGUCUCUGGGCCGAUACUGACGCUGAGGAGCGAAAGCGUGGGGAGCGAACAGG